GUCAAACACCCGAGCAUCAGAACCGGAUGCCCCGGCGCGCCAGCCGGAUGGCGCGAAACUCAAGGCGGCGGCGGCGGCUUGUGGUACCGUGCAGCUGGCCUCAUCGACGUAUGGCCGAGUAAACUGCGCCCGCGGCAUGGCCGGCGACCUCUCCUUCGUCCAUUGGAAGUGCCACCAGACCUUGCCAGAGAGACUGCUGAGGACGGAGCUUCGAAGCGGACAAGGAAAUGCCUGCUCUGCUCCAUUGACUUCCCAGAUGCAUAAUUGGUGGUGACUUGCAGGCUAGCGUAUAUCCUGGCCUAUGUUUACAGAUGGCUGGAUCUGCUCCUCGAUCUAGCAGGAUGGACGUAGCUACCUACUUGAUUCAAAUCAUUACUUUGCUUCCUCUGCCAGAGCCUGGGGUUGAAGUUGGGAUUCUGCAUCUGGUCGGCCCUCAAUCACAGGCAAGGGAUGGCCAUGGUUUUUCCGCUUCAGAGUUGAGCUGGAUGCCCGCCCAGUGCACGAGUCUCCUGAACACGAUGAGCAUGCUGUGGUCUGUCGUCUGUUCCAGCAGCAACGUUCAUACAUUGUUGUCCACUACUCCAGUGCAGCAGCAGCCCGAAAAUAAUGGAGAGCUGGGUGGGAAGAUCAAAUCAAGGACCCCGGCAGUUACUGGAAGUUCUAGGUUGCAGCUUAAGGAGGCCAUUCGAUGAGUGUUCUUCUCUGGCACACCACCAUGGAUUUCUGCUUCUACUACAUGGGCGCAACAGCAGAUCACCGAUGUACCGCUGCUCGGUGUAUUCACGACGCCUCUGGUGAAGGCCGUGGGUGUGCUGCCUGGUGUGGAAGAUCUCCUCACCACGGUAGAUCCUCAAGGAUGACAAGACAGUCCAUGGAAGGUGAUUGAGGGCGUGUGGGUGGAGAUGCUCUGCGUCUCCUUGGCCAGUAGGUGAUGAGGGUACCUACACGCCAAGAGUUUGGGCACCACGGAGGGGAGCUCGGGUCAGCACUGCGAAGCCCUCUUCUGAAAAUUGAUGUUUCUCUACUCUGCAUUUGCUUAUUUGUGGAAGCUUUUUGUAGUUCAUACAUUGUGGUGUUCCAUUUGUCGCUGUUCCAAGUUGGAGAUAUCAUAAUAACUAUGUGAAUUUGUGAUCUGUCGGUCGACAUCUCGGAGCGAACAGGAUCCACGGCCUCAUGAAGCUGCUGCUGCCCGCGCAUAUGCAUCUCGGCGUCAAGAUAUACUUCCGGCUGAAUAAUAAUUAUCCGAGAAAAGCACUAGUCCAGUUUGAUGCCUGGCAGUCUGUUGGGUGAUACUAUGUUGUUUCAAGUUUCAACUACGAUGGCAGAGAGUAACCUGCUAAACUCCCCGCAAAAAAAUAAAAGAAUAACCUGCAAAACUAUUGCUUCUUUUCCUUCUCUGUGUCUGUAUUACCAGUCCACCGUUCGAC